CAGUCGCCGCGGUAAAACGAACCGUGCGAACGUUAUUCGGAAUUACUGGGCUUAAAGCGCGUGUAGGCGGGCCGCCACGUCGGCCGCUGAAAUCCCCCGGCUCAACCGGGGAAGUGGCAUCGAUACGAGCGGCCUUGAGGGGGGUAGGGGGAUCUGGAACUUCCGGUGGAGCGGUGAAAUGCGUUGAGAUCGGAAGGAACGCCCGUGGCGAAAGCGAGGUCCUGGACCCUUUCUGACGCUGAGACGCGAAAGCCAGGGGAGCGAACGGGAUUAGAUACCCCAGUAGUCCCUGUCUCUUAUU
rnacentral:rRNA from 1 species